rnacentral:misc_RNA from 1 species
AAUCAGCAGAAGAUCAAGACCACUUCCUCCACGAGCAAAAAUACCCGCGCACUUCCACAAGUGAUUUUAAACAAUUGCUAGCUGAACCACAAGUACAUUAUUGAAACUAUAAGGGUAUGUUUUGGGCAUUCAAAGGUAAUGCAGCAGUUGUUUUAUUGUGUCUUGUCUUGCACAAAAUUAAAAGAUACCAACCAAGCCAUCAAAACUAGCACCAUGGAGC